CAGUAGCCGCGGUAAUACGUAGGUCCCGAGCGUUGUCCGGAUUUAUUGGGCGUAAAGCGAGCGCGGGCGGUUAGAUAAGUCUGAAGUUAAAGGCUGUGGCUUAACCAUAGUACGCUUUGGAAACUGUUUAACUUGAGUGCAAGAGGGGAGAGUGGAAUUCCAUGUGUAGCGGUGAAAUGCGUAGAUAUAUGGAGGAACACCGGUGGCGAAAGCGGCUCUCUGGCUUGUAACUGACGCUGAGGCUCGAAAGCGUGGGGAGCAAACAGGAUUAGAUACCCCAGUAGUCCCUGUCUCUUAUACA
rnacentral:rRNA from 1 species